GCCGGUGUAGCUCAGUUGGUAGAGCAGUUCAUUCGUAAUGAAAAGGUCAGGGGUUCGAUUCCUCUUACCGGCA
rnacentral:tRNA from 1 species